rnacentral:rRNA from 3 species
AGAGUUUGAUCAUGGCUCAGAUUGAACGCUGGCGGCAGGCCUAACACAUGCAAGUCGAGCGGUAGCACAGAGAGCUUGCUCUCGGGUGACGAGCGGCGGACGGGUGAGUAAUGUCUGGGAAACUGCCUGAUGGAGGGGGAUAACUACUGGAAACGGUAGCUAAUACCGCAUAAUGUCGCAAGACCAAAGUGGGGGACCUUCGGGCCUCAUGCCAUCAGAUGUGCCCAGAUGGGAUUAGCUAGUAGGUGGGGUAACGGCUCACCUAGGCGACGAUCCCUAGCUGGUCUGAGAGGAUGACCAGCCACACUGGAACUGAGACACGGUCCAGACUCCUACGGGAGGCAGCAGUGGGGAAUAUUGCACAAUGGGCGCAAGCCUGAUGCAGCCAUGCCGCGUGUGUGAAGAAGGCCUUCGGGUUGUAAAGCACUUUCAGCGGGGAGGAAGGCGAUAAGGUUAAUAACCUUGUCGAUUGACGUUACCCGCAGAAGAAGCACCGGCUAACUCCGUGCCAGCAGCCGCGGUAAUACGGAGGGUGCAAGCGUUAAUCGGAAUUACUGGGCGUAAAGCGCACGCAGGCGGUCUGUCAAGUCGGAUGUGAAAUCCCCGGGCUCAACCUGGGAACUGCAUUCGAAACUGGCAGGCUAGAGUCUUGUAGAGGGGGGUAGAAUUCCAGGUGUAGCGGUGAAAUGCGUAGAGAUCUGGAGGAAUACCGGUGGCGAAGGCGGCCCCCUGGACAAAGACUGACGCUCAGGUGCGAAAGCGUGGGGAGCAAACAGGAUUAGAUACCCUGGUAGUCCACGCCGUAAACGAUGUCGAUUUGGAGGUUGUGCCCUUGAGGCGUGGCUUCCGGAGCUAACGCGUUAAAUCGACCGCCUGGGGAGUACGGCCGCAAGGUUAAAACUCAAAUGAAUUGACGGGGGCCCGCACAAGCGGUGGAGCAUGUGGUUUAAUUCGAUGCAACGCGAAGAACCUUACCUGGUCUUGACAUCCACAGAACUUUCCAGAGAUGGAUUGGUGCCUUCGGGAACUGUGAGACAGGUGCUGCAUGGCUGUCGUCAGCUCGUGUUGUGAAAUGUUGGGUUAAGUCCCGCAACGAGCGCAACCCUUAUCCUUUGUUGCCAGCGGUUAGGCCGGGAACUCAAAGGAGACUGCCAGUGAUAAACUGGAGGAAGGUGGGGAUGACGUCAAGUCAUCAUGGCCCUUACGACCAGGGCUACACACGUGCUACAAUGGCAUAUACAAAGAGAAGCGACCUCGCGAGAGCAAGCGGACCUCAUAAAGUAUGUCGUAGUCCGGAUUGGAGUCUGCAACUCGACUCCAUGAAGUCGGAAUCGCUAGUAAUCGUAGAUCAGAAUGCUACGGUGAAUACGUUCCCGGGCCUUGUACACACCGCCCGUCACACCAUGGGAGUGGGUUGCAAAAGAAGUAGGUAGCUUAACCUUCGGGAGGGCGCUUACCACUUUGUGAUUCAUGACUGGGGUGAAGUCGUAACAAGGUAACCGUAGGGGAACCUGCGGUUG